UACGGUGCUGAAGCAACAAAUGCCCUGCUUCCAGGAAAAGCCUCUAAGCAUCAGGUAACAUCAAAUCGUACCCCAAACCGACACAGGUGGUCAGGUAGAGAAUACCAAGGCGCUUGAGAGAACUCGGGUGAAGGAACUAGGCAAAAUGGUGCCGUAACUUCGGGAGAAGGCACGCUGACACGUAGGUGAAGUGAUUUACUCAUGGAGCUGAAGUCAGUCGAAGAUACCAGCUGGCUGCAACUGUUUAUUAAAAACACAGCACUGUGCAAACACGAAAGUGGACGUAUACGGUGUGACGCCUGCCCGGUGCCGGAAGGUUAAUUGAUGGGGUCAGCGCAAGCGAAGCUCCUGAUCGAAGCCCCGGUAAACGGCGGCCGUAACUAUAACGGUCCUAAGGUAGCGAAAUUCCUUGUCGGGUAAGUUCCGACCUGCACGAAUGGCGUAAUGAUGGCCAGGCUGUCUCCACCCGAGACUCAGUGAAAUUGAACUCGCUGUGAAGAUGCAGUGUACCCGCGGCAAGACGGAAAGACCCCGUGAACCUUUACUAUAGCUUGACACUGAACAUUGAGCCUUGAUGUGUAGGAUAGGUGGGAGGCUUUGAAGUGUGGACGCCAGUCUGCAUGGAGCCGACCUUGAAAUACCACCCUUUAAUGUUUGAUGUUCUAACGUGGACCCGUAAUCCGGGUUGCGGACAGUGUCUGGUGGGUAGUUUGACUGGGGCGGUCUCCUCCUAAAGAGUAACGGAGGAGCACGAAGGUUGGCUAAUCCUGGUCGGACAUCAGGAGGUUAGUGCAAUGGCAUAAGCCAGCUUGACUGCGAGCGUGACGGCGCGAGCAGGUGCGAAAGCAGGUCAUAGUGAUCCGGUGGUUCUGAAUGGAAGGGCCAUCGCUCAACGGAUAAAAGGUACUCCGGGGAUAACAGGCUGAUACCGCCCAAGAGUUCAUAUCGACGGCGGUGUUUGGCACCUCGAUGUCGGCUCAUCACAUCCUGGGGCUGAAGUAGGUCCCAAGGGUAUGGCUGUUCGCCAUUUAAAGUGGUACGCGAGCUGGGUUUAGAACGUCGUGAGACAGUUCGGUCCCUAUCUGCCGUGGGCGCUGGAGAACUGAGGGGGGCUGCUCCUAGUACGAGAGGACCGGAGUGGACGCAUCACUGGUGUUCGGGUUGUCAUGCCAAUGGCACUGCCCGGUAGCUAAAUGCGGAAGAGAUAAGUGCUGAAAGCAUCUAAGCACGAAACUUGCCCCGAGAUGAGUUCUCCCUGAGACUUAGAGUCUCCUGAAGGAACGUUGAAGACGACGACGUUGAUAGGCCGGGUGUGUAAGCGCAGCGAUGCGUUGAGCUAACCGGUACUAAUGAACCGUGAGGCUUAACCUU
rnacentral:rRNA from 1 species